GACGAACGCUGGCGGCGUGCUUAACACAUGCAAGUCGAACGGAAAGGCCUUUUCGGAGGUACUCGAGUGGCGAACGGGUGAGUAACACGUGGGUGAUCUGCCCUGCACUCUGGGAUAAGCCUGGGAAACUGGGUCUAAUACCGGAUAGGACCGCACUUUAGUGUGUGUGGUGGAAAGUUUUUUCGGUGUAGGAUGAGCCCGCGGCCUAUCAGCUUGUUGGUGGGGUAAUGGCCUACCAAGGCGGCGACGGGUAGCCGGACUGAGAGGUUGGUCGGCCACAUUGGGACUGAGAUACGGCCCAGACUCCUACGGGAGGCAGCAGUGGGGAAUAUUGCACAAUGGGCGCAAGCCUGAUGCAGCGACGCCGCGCGGGGGAUGACGGCCUUCGGGUUGUAAACUCCUUUCGCCAGGGACGAAGCGUUUUGUGACGGUACCUGGAGAAGAAGCACCGGCUAACUACGUG
rnacentral:rRNA from 1 species